ACAGAGAUGGCGACCGUUGUUCGGAAUCACUGGGCUUAAAGGGCACGUAGGCGGUAAGAAAAGUUGGGUGUGAAAUACUCUGGCUUACCCAGAGAAAAGCAAACAAAACUAUCUUACUUGAGGACGGUAGGGGAGAGUGGAACUCUUGGUGGAGCGGUGAAAUGCGUUGAUAUCAGGAGGAACGCCGGAGGUGAAAACGACUCUCUAGACCGGAACUGACGCUGAGGUGCGAAAGCCAGGGGAGCAAACGG
rnacentral:rRNA from 1 species